rnacentral:tRNA from 4 species
GCCCGGUUAGCUCAAUCGGUAGAGCGUGAGACUCUUAUCUUGCGCCUACAAGCGAAGACGAGUACGCGAUCUCAAGGUUGCGGGUUCGACCCCCGCAUCGGGCU